AGUGAACGCUGGCGGUAGGCCUAACACAUGCAAGUCGAACGGCAGCACAGUAAGAGCUUGCUCUUACGGGUGGCGAGUGGCGGACGGGUGAGGAAUACAUCGGAAUCUACUUUUUCGUGGGGGAUAACGUAGGGAAACUUACGCUAAUACCGCAUACGACCUACGGUUGAAAGCAGGGGAUCUUCGGACCUUGCGCGAUUGAAUGAGCCGAUGUCGGAUUAGCUAGUUGGCGGGGUAAAGGCCCACCAAGGCGACGAUCCGUAGCUGGUCUGAGAGGAUGAUAAGCCACACGGGAACUGAGACAAGGUCAAGACUCCUACGGGAGGAAGCAGUGGGGAAUAUUGGACAAUGGGCGCAAGCCUGAUCCAGACAUACCGCGUGGGUGAAGAAGGCCUUCGGGUUGUAAAGCCCUUUUGUUGGGAAAGAAAAGCAGCAGGUUAAUACCCCGCUGUUCUGACGGUACCCAAAGAAUAAGCACCGGCUAACUUCGUG
rnacentral:rRNA from 1 species